rnacentral:rRNA from 1 species
UACGUAGGUGGCAAGCGUUGUCCGGAUUUACUGGGCGUAAAGAGCGCGCAGGCGGUUGGGUAAGUCGAAUGUGAAAGCCCCCGGCUCAACCGGGGAAGUGCAUCCGAAACUGGCGGGCUAGAGUACGAAAGAGGGUCGCGGAAUUCCCGGUGUAGAGGUGAAAUUCGUAGAUAUCGGGAGGAACACCGGUGGCGAAGGCGGCGACCUGGGUCGAUACUGACGCUGAGGUGCGAAAGCGUGGGGAGCAAACAGG